CGAAAUCUGCCAUUUUCAUGUAUAAUAAUUGAUCUUGGAAUUAUAAAUAAUCGUUGCUUCGUUCUCGAACGAAUAUUUCAAGUAAAAAAAAAAGUAACACCAAAUAAAAAUUUAUAAUGUCCGACAUAUCUCCGAAGUCCGCUAAAUUACUAUUAUACAAAUUUAUCAAAUCCUUAUCUAUUACAAUUAGGGAAAAGUUCACGCAACCCGUUCAACGGUCGUGCUCGUACUCCAAGAAAGUCCGGUACAUCAUCAGGGAAGACUAUGGAUGUUAAUUGUUUUCCUACACCAAAGCCACGAGCUUAAACUGGGUUUUUCCUACACCAAAUUAAACAAAUAAGUAAAUAAAUAUAAUACUUAAAUAAUUAAAUAAAAUAAAAUAAAAGAAGAAGAAAGAUGGGAUAAGAAUGUUAGCAACUUGCUGCACAACUUGCUACCCACGCCACUUGCAUAAUUUUUUUUUAAGAUAAGCUCCACUUGCAUAUUUUUAUGUAUAUGUAUAUGUACAUGUAUAUCUGCAAAUCAUCACUCACACACAUCACCCUCAUAAAUCUUAAUUUUGCACACCCCAACCCACAAAGGGUAGAGGAGUUCCGAGGGGGGGGAGAUUGCACACUCAAACACUACAAUCCAACCACACCUUUAUUCCAAGGGUACGUUAUCAAGUAAAGUCGGAACGAAAGAUUCAAGUUAAGGAAUCUAAACGAUCAAGGUGAAAAUUACUUGAAAACGAGCUUGAAGAUGGAUUACAGAAGAAGUGCCCGACCGGGCGUUCAUGUACAAGAGAAACGCCCAGCUCGGGCGUUUGUGCAAAGAAGGAACGAAUCCAGAGAGUUUGCCCGACCGGGCGUUCUCCCUCGGAAGAAUCGCCCGACCGGGCGAUGUGAAGAAUCGGGGCCAUCGAGAGAUCGCCCGACCGGGCGUUUAGGCGACUUAAAAUCGCCCGGCCGGGCGAUGUGUUCUGCGAGAGUUAAUUGCUAUUAUUUCCGCCCCGGGUAUAAAAGGAGAGCUAGGUUUUCGUGCCCAAGGAGACCAGACACGCCCCCAAGAGCAGUUUUUCACAUUGGAGAGUAGAUUGAGGCGACGAAGAGUCCAAUUCAUCAACAAGGUUGAAGACGAACACGAUUUGCCCACUCAAUCCACCUUUGGGGGUAUCUUUAUUAGUUUUCUUAUGUUUAGUUCACUUCCCAUGGAUUUAUCUUGUGAAUUUGCAUUGAAUAUGAGUAGCUAAAUCUCUUGUAGAGUUUUGGUGAUGACUACAAUGAACGUUGUUGAUUAAUUCAAGGACUUUUGAUUA